CUCUGGUCCUGGACAGACUCUGUCCCCUCCAGGGCCAGCAGUCUGCACCUCAGUUCUACCUGACUCGGGCAUGGUGUUGGGACACCUGACCAAAGUCACCCUCCCCAACUGCUUCCCAAUCCAAGGGGCCAAUGUCCUUGACAUUGUAGAUUAGGGACCUAGAGGCUAGAAACCCUCCAAGGGAGGGGCGUCCCAGAGCCCUGCUUCUUAAGGAAGGAGUAAGAAAUGGAGAUGUGUCCUGGGAAGGCUCAGGACGUGGGUCAGUGCCACGCAUGGCUGCUGUUUUGUUAGGCACUGAGCCUGGUCCUUAGGAGCCAAGCAGGGAAGGACAGCCCUGAUGCGGAUCCUUCUCAGGAUUGGGCCCAGCGUGGGUCAGUUGGUGGAGUGUUAAAAGUGGAGGUCAGCCAUGCUGGGCUCGAAGCCUGGGUUUAGUCUGUGUGAAUUCAUUUAGGAUUUCUCUCUCUCCUCAUCCUGAAAUGGAGUUAGCGCCCACUUUGAGGGCAGUGCUCUGGUGCCAAAGAGAUGAAAUGGGAGCCACCAAGUGUAGACCCAGUUCUGACCCCUGCAUUUGGAAGGUUCCCUGUCUUUGAAAAGGUUCAUUGCCCAGAGGAGCCUGCUGCAAAGCAGUGGCCUACACACCACAGGAAAUCUGGGAGGACAAAAAGAAGUGCUUCAUGAUAAGCACUGAGGGAUCC
rnacentral:lncRNA from 1 species